CCUACGGGUGGCAGCAGUGGGGAAUAUUGGGCAAUGGGCGCAAGCCUGACCCAGCAACGCCGCGUGAAGGAAGAAGGCCUUCGGGUUGUAAACUUCUUUUCUGAGGGACGAAGAAAGUGACGGUACCUCCGGAAUCAGCCGCGGCUAACUACGUGCCAGCAGCCGCGGUAAUACGUAGGUGGCAAGCGUUCUCCGGAUUUAUUGGGUGUAAAGGGCGUGUAGGCGGGAAAGCAAGUCAGAUGUGAAAACUCAGGGCUCAACCCUGAUGCUGCAUUUGAUACUGGUUUUCGUGAGUGCUGGAGAGGCAAGCGGAAUUCCUGGUGUAGCGGUGAAAUGCGUAGAGAUACGGAGGAACACCGGUGGCGAAGGCGGAUUGCUGGACAGUAACUGACGCUGAGGCGCGAAAGCGUGGGGAGCAAACAGGAUUAGAUACCCGGGUAGUC
rnacentral:rRNA from 1 species